UUUAGUUUUUCUUCGUUGAUGUGGCUUAUUUUUUAUUUUUCUUCAUCAAUUUUGUCCUUAAUGAUUAAAAAAAAAAGGUGCUUAUUAUUUAAUCUUCACGAACCUUUAAACGCGUAUAUAAAUUUCUCUCAAUAAUUCUUAUUGUUAAAUAAAUUAAGAUUGACAAAAAUAAGGGAUAAAAAUGUGAAAGAAGUAUAAACUAAUGCACGUUGAGUUAAUAUAUUAUUUUUGGCAAGACGAACUCCUAAAUAUGUAUCUAAUUUUUAAAUCUCUCCUAAUAAUUUUCACCAUUAAAUAAGCUUAAGGUUGACAAAAAUAAUAGAUAAAAAUAAGGAAAAAGACAUAAAUUAAUGAAAAUGAGUUAAUAGAUUGUUGGUGGGCCAAAUUGGGCAGCACAUUAGCCAACAACAGGCUUCCACGCUCCUUUGCGGAGGUGUUCCACACGCACCUUGCCAACUCAGCAAAAGGUGUCAAAAUGACACACUUUAAGGCCACUUGAGGUGCCAAAAUGAACCAAUGUCCACUUGAGGUGCCUAAGUGAAAGAUGACGUGUCUGGCGAUGAGUUUUGCCGAAAGAUUUCAAAGCUUGCAAGGAUGUUAAACUUCAACAUCUAUGCAUCAUUAAGUCAUCUUUAUCUGUUACAUCUUUAUCUGUUACUAAACUCUUUAAUUACAUUGUCGUUGACCAUAAGAUGUUGUUUACAUGUCUGGAGAUAUGCACUACAAAUCUGUGUGUGUGUGUGUGUUCUGGCAAACGGUAUUGGAAGUUGUUGAACUAGAGUAUAAUGUGAUUUCUUGAUGUAUGGUCCAUUCUUCUGCUAUUACAAGCUUAAUAAUCAUCCUUAUUCUACUUAACAGCUGGAUUAAUGAUAAAGAGUGAACAAAGGGAAGAGCGGACUUAUUUCAGAAAUUAGGAAUCCAGCAGAGCAGAUAGAUUCAAGAUCAGCCCGUGAUAACUUAUGAGACCAACAAGCAUUUAUCUGUCCAUCAAAUCCACAAUUUGACUGCAUACCGGAUGCUGAUAUGCCUUUCACAUAUUCCUGGCACACCCCAAAAAUAAGAGGGGGGAAAAACCAAGCAAAAAAGACCAGAGCAUGAGAAUCAACAAAAAGCUCUUCAUUCAAUACAAGUAUAUGACGAGAAACAGACGGGAAACAUAGUGUUUAAGGUAUAACAUUAAUUUGGUUAGCAUCUUUUGAUACAAUUUGCACUCAUAAAUAUUACAGGAUCUUAUUCGUUGGCGAGUAUGUAUCUGUUCAAAAAAAUUUGUUCUAUCUCACAUGAUGUUGUCAGUAAAUAUCUUUUCUCGAUCAAGUAAAGUAAUAGAAUUUUAUUGAUAACGGAAAAGCAUUUGUACGGAACCAUCAAUCAGUUAUGUCUAAGUUCCAAACUAGCUGGGAUCACUUUAUAGAAAUCAUAUCAAUUAAAAGAAAUUCAAAUGACUCACGACAUUCACGGCCAAUUUAACAUGACCUUUUGUUUGAUCCUAUAUCAUCAAUUGGGUUCCUUUGAGCCGAGGGUCUAUCCAGAAACAGCCUCUCUACCUCUGCGGUAGGGGCAGGCCGGCGCACUAAAGCUCGCGCUAUGCGCAGGUAUGUUUUUAUUGUUGUUGUUACUCUUGUUUUAUCAUCAAUUGGGGUGCAGUUGAAUUGAAUAAAUGUUUAGGCUACAUCACCAAUAGACUAAGAUAUAGUGAUCACAUUACUCAUUUUCUACUGUAAUUAUUGUCCCUUCAUCAAUCUUCCAAUUUUACAGACUCACAAUUUUCAGAUACUUGAAUGGGUGCAUUACUCAACCUUUUAUAGAAACCCACCGAACUAAGGUACUUUUUUUCUCGAUUUAUUUUUCCCAUAAGAGCUGUUCAACACACUGUUUUUCACCCUCUCACCUCCUUUGGAAUUUGGAUAAGUACCACUCUCUCUUCUUAUACCACAUUAUCCAUCUCAACAGACUCAUCCAAGCCAUCUAUAACUCUUCGGAAGUUGCUUCUAUGUUUCAAAGACAGCAUAAUAUUGCUUAAUCACGCAUAAUGUUACCUCCCAUCCCUUGAACGGUAUUAUUCCGAAAUACCUAAUUUCCUUCAAUUUUAUCAGUAAACGGAUUUCUGACAACAUUCAGUGCUCAGGUCGCUGUUAAACAAAAAUGUCUUUCCACAUACAUUUUAACUAUGCAAACACGACUUUUUAUUUAUUUCUCAGAUCAACCGUUUGCGUCUUCUAGGCUGCCAAGUAGAAAAACAUUGUGGAAUUAGGAACUACUCAAUCAAAUGAUCGUACUGCCUAUCGAAGCAGCAGACUGGCCAAUAGCAUUUCACUGGAUUAAGAGGGGUCUCUCCAGGCCUUUCCAGAGCAAAGGAGAGUAGACUACCUAAUCUACAAAUAUACAUGGAAUUGCUACUAAAGAAGAACAAAAACAGUAUCCUCGCCGUUCUCAUACACAAACUGGAACAUCUCUCUCUCUCUCUCUCACACACACACACACAGAGAGAGAGAGAGAGAGCGAUGGACAAGAUGAGGUUUUACAGAAGGCGAAAUCUUUGUAUUUCCUAUUAGAAUAAGAGAAAAUGGCAACGUGCCUCAUUGCCUAUAUAUGCUGAUGGGUACAUUCUUAAUUAGUAUGUACCAGCACCUUAUUCUUAUUUGGAUAACUAUGUUACUGAUAUCAUUUUAUAAGCACCAAACAACUAUAUGCUGCCGUGAGGCCCGGGGAUUAUAUAUCAUCCAGGCAGUAACUCAUGGGACAAUCACCCAUAACAUCAUGCACUUACAGCUAGUUUGUAAAUCUCACCAGCAAAUGUUAUUUGAAAAGGUAAACUGUACAAUUGAGGUGAAAGGAUGAAUGCUGCAUCUGUUGUUCAAGCCUAAAUGAUGAUCUGCCUAGUGUAAACAAGACUUCAGGAGAGAAUAGAGACAACGAGAUGGAAUUUCCAUUUUCAUUUUUAGAUACUCAUAGCCCGUAGGUAACAGUGAGCAACAAAGUGUUGCUCUAAUCAAUUUGAUCACAUUUUUAUUUCAGAAAUAAACUAGUACUAUCCCGUCAAAAAAGAAUCAAACAACUAUUAAAUUGCAAAGAAUUCCAAGUUCAGGCAAGGUUAUACAAGCUCAAAGCACCACUACACCAGAAGUCUAACCAAAAAGUAACUUCUAGACUAUACACAAGCAAAAGUGCAUCGACAUGUAAUCCCCCACGGAGAAACAAUAUUCUUCCAGUGUUUUGCUCAAGACCACAUAUUAAAGGUUA